rnacentral:rRNA from 1 species
GGCGGCAGGCCUAACACAUGCAAGUCGAACGAGACCUUCGGGUCUAGUGGCGGACGGGUUAGUAACGCGUGGGAACGUGCCUUUCACUACGGAAUAGUCCCGGGAAACUGGGUUUAAUACCGUAUACGCCCUUCGGGGGAAAGAAUUUCGGUGAAAGAUCGGCCCGCGUUAGAUUAGGUAGUUGGUGGGGUAAUGGCCUACCAAGCCUACGAUCUAUAGCUGGUUUUAGAGGAUGAUCAGCAACACUGGGACUGAGACACGGCCCAGACUCCUACGGGAGGCAGCAGUGGGGAAUCUUGGACAAUGGGCGCAAGCCUGAUCCAGCCAUGCCGCGUGAGUGAUGAAGGCCUUAGGGUCGUAAAGCUCUUUCGCCAGGGAUGAUAAUGACAGUACCUGGUAAAGAAACCCCGGCUAACUCCGUGCCAGCAGCCGCGGUAAUACGGAGGGGGUUAGCGUUGUUCGGAAUUACUGGGCGUAAAGCGCACGUAGGCGGAUUGGAAAGUUGGGGGUGAAAUCCCAGGGCUCAACCCUGGAACUGCCUCCAAAACUACCAGUCUAGAGUUCGAGAGAGGUGAGUGGAAUUCCGAGUGUAGAGGUGAAAUUCGUAGAUAUUCGGAGGAACACCAGUGGCGAAGGCGGCUCACUGGCUCGAUACUGACGCUGAGGUGCGAAAGUGUGGGGAGCAAACAGGAUUAGAUACCCUGGUAGUCCACACCGUAAACGAUGAAUGCCAGUCGUCGGAUAGCAUGCUAUUCGGUGACACACCUAACGGAUUAAGC